AAAAUGUUCUUGUCAGAUUCAACAUCAGUUGGUACAACACCUGUGAACAGUACAACACCCACAAUGUCACCAACAAAUGCUACAACAGGUGUGAACACAACAACACUUACCACAACACCAACAACGACUGUAACGAAUUCAACUACAGAUGCUACAACAGGUGUGAACACAACAGCACUUACCACAACCACCAACAAUGAUCAUA